CCCGCACAAGCGGUGAUGAUGUGGAUUAAUUCGAUGCAACGCGAAAAACCUUACCUACCCUUGACAUGUCCGGAAUCCCGAAGAGAUUUGGGAGUGCUCGCAAGAGAGCCGGAACACAGGUGCUGCAUGGCUGUCGUCAGCUCGUGUCGUGAGAUGUUGGGUUAAGUCCCGCAACGAGCGCAACCCUUGUCAUUAGUUGCCAUCAUUUGGUUGGGCACUCUAAUGAGACUGCCGGUGACAAACCGGAGGAAGGUGGGGAUGACGUCAAGUCCUCAUGGCCCUUAUGGGUAGGGCUUCACACGUCAUACAAUGGUCGGUACAGAGGGUUGCCAACCCGCGAGGGGGAGCUAAUCCCACAAAGCCGAUCGUAGUCCGGAUCGCAGUCUGCAACUCGACUGCGUGAAGUCGGAAUCGCUAGUAAUCGUGGAUCAGCAUGUCACGGUGAAUACGUUCCCGGGUCUU
rnacentral:rRNA from 1 species